rnacentral:rRNA from 1 species
GACGAACGCUGGCGGCGUGCUUAACACAUGCAAGUCGAACGGAAAGGCCCUGCUUUUGUGGGGUGCUCGAGUGGCGAACGGGUGAGUAACACGUGAGUAACCUGCCCUUGACUUUGGGAUAACUUCAGGAAACUGGGGCUAAUACCGGAUAGGAGCUCCUGCUGCAUGGUGGGGGUUGGAAAGUUUCGGCGGUUGGGGAUGGACUCGCGGCUUAUCAGCGUGUUGGUGGGGUAGUGGCAUACCAAGGCUUUGACGGGUAGCCGGCCUGAGAGGGUGAGCGGCCACAUUGGGACUGAGAUACGGCCCAGACUCCUACGGGAGGCAGCAGUGGGGAAUAUUGCACAAUGGGCGGAAGCCUGAUGCAGCAGCGCCGCGUGCGGGAUGACGGCCUUCGGGUUGUAAACCGCUUUCGCCUGUGACGAAGCGUGAGUGACGGUAAUGGGUAAAGAAGCACCGGCUAACUACGUG